rnacentral:rRNA from 1 species
ACGUACGCUGGCGGCACGCCUAACACAUGCAAGUCGAACGAAGUAGCAAUACUUAGUGGCAGACGGGUGAGUAACAUGUAGGUAUCUGCCCUUUGGCCUGGAAUAACACGAGGAAACUUGUGCUAAUACCGGAUAAGUCUUUACGGAGAAAGCUUUAUGCACCAUUGGAUGAGCCUGCACUUGAUUAGUUUGUUGGUGGGGUAAUGGCCUACCAAGACUGUGAUCAAUAGCUGAUUUGAGAGGAUGAUCAGCCACAUUGGGACUGAGACACGGCCCAAACUCCUACGGGAGGCAGCAGUGGGGAAUCUUGCACAAUGGAGGAAACUCUGAUGCAGCGAUGCCGCGUGAGUGAAGAAGGCCUUUGGGUUGUAAAGCUCUUUCGUCGGGGAAGAAAAUGACUGUACCCGAAUAAGAAGGUCCGGCUAACUUCGUGCCAGCAGCCGCGGUAAUACGAAGGGACCUAGCGUAGUUCGGAAUUACUGGGCUUAAAGAGUUCGUAGGUGGUUGAAAAAGUUAGUGGUGAAAUCCCAGAGCUUAACUCUGGAACUGCCAUUAAAACUUUUCAGCUAGAGUAUGAUAGAGGAAAGCAGAAUUUCUAGUGUAGAGGUGAAAUUCGUAGAUAUUAGAAAGAAUACCAAUUGCGAAGGCAGCUUUCUGGAUCAUCACUGA